UCUCUGAUAGCUCAGUUGGUAAAGAAUCUGCCUGCAAUGCAGGAGACCCUGGUUUGAUUCCUGGGUCAGGAA
rnacentral:tRNA from 1 species